GUGUUCGAUUUGGCAGCAUAUAUACGAAAAUUGGAAUGAAUGAAAGAGAUUAACAUGGACUCUGCACAAGGAUUACACACAAGUUUGUGAAGUGUUCCAUACUUUU
ensembl:snRNA U6 U6 spliceosomal RNA